rnacentral:rRNA from 1 species
UACGUAGGGUGCGAGCGUUAAUCGGAAUUACUGGGCGUAAAGCGUGCGCAGGCGGUUCGUUGUGUCUGAUGUGAAAGCCCCGGGCUCAACCUGGGAAUGGCAUUGGAAACUGGCGAGCUAGAGUGUGGCAGAGGGGGGUGGAAUUCCGCGUGUAGCAGUGAAAUGCGUAGAUAUCUGGAGGAACACCGGUGGCGAAGGCGGCGUCCUGGACCAACACUGACACUGAUGAGCGAAAGCCAGGGGAGCAAACGGG